UACGAAGGGGGGCUAGCGUUGUUCGGAAUUACUGGGCGUAAAGCGCACGUAGGCGGAAAUUUAAGUCAGGGGUGAAAUCCCGGGGCUCAACCCCGGAACUGCCUUUGAUACUGGGUUUCUUGAGUUCGGAAGAGGUAAGUGGAAUUGCGAGUGUAGAGGUGAAAUUCGUAGAUAUUCGCAGGAACACCAGUGGCGAAGGCGGCUUACUGGUCCGAUACUGACGCUGAGGUGCGAAAGCGUGGGGAGCAAACAGG
rnacentral:rRNA from 1 species